CUUACCUGGUCUUGACAUCCACGGAAGUUUUCAGAGAUGAGAAUGUGCCUUCGGGAACCGUGAGACAGGUGCUGCAUGGCUGUCGUCAGCUCGUGUUGUGAAAUGUUGGGUUAAGUCCCGCAACGAGCGCAACCCUUAUCCUUUGUUGCCAGCGAUUAGGUCGGGAACUCAAAGGAGACUGCCAGUGAUAAACUGGAGGAAGGUGGGGAUGACGUCAAGUCAUCAUGGCCCUUACGACCAGGGCUACACACGUGCUACAAUGGCGCAUACAAAGAGAAGCGACCUCGCGAGAGCAAGCGGACCUCAUAAAGUGCGUCGUAGUCCGGAUUGGAGUCUGCAACUCGACUCCAUGAAGUCGGAAUCGCUAGUAAUCGUGGAUCAGAAUGCCACGGUGAAUACGUUCCCGGGCCUUGUACACACCGCCCGUCACACCAUGGGAGUGGGUUGCAAAAGAAGUAGGUAGCUUAACCUUCGGGAGGGCGCUUACCACUUUGUGAUUCAUGACUGGGGUGAAGUCGUAACAAGGUAACCGUAGGGGAACCUGCGGUUGGAUCACCUCCUUA
rnacentral:rRNA from 1 species